GUCGGCUUCGGGACACCUGCGGGGCCCGCGUGGGGGUGCCCGGUGCUGGGGGGUCGGCUUCGGGACACCUGCGGGGUCCACGUGGGUGUUGUCUGUGCUGGGGGGUCGGCUUCGGGACACCUGCGGGGCCCGCGUGGGGGUGCCCGGUGCUGGGGGGUCGGCUUCGGGACACCUGCGGGGCCCGCGUGGGUGUUGUCUGUGCUGGGGGGUCGGCUUCGGGACACCUGCGGGGCCCGCGUGGGUGUUGUCUGUGCUGGGGGGUCGGCUUCGGGACACCUGCGGGGCCCGCGUGGGUGUUGUCUGUGCUGGGGGGUCGGCUUCGGGACACCUGCGGGGCCCGCGUGGGUGUUGUCUGUGCUGGGGGGUCGGCUUCGGGACACCUGCGGGGCCCGCGUGGGUGUUGUCUGUGCUGGGGGGUCGGCUUCGGGACACCUGCGGGGCCCGCGUGGGUGUUGUCUGUGCUGGGGGGUCGGCUUCGGGACAUCUGCGGGGCCCACGUGGGGGUGCCCGGUGCUGGGGGGUCGGCUUCGGGACACCUGCGGGGCCCACGUGGGGGUGCCCGGUGCUGGGGGGUCGGCUUCGGGACACCUGUAGGGCCCGCGUGGGGGUGCCCGGUGCUGGGGGUGGGUUGGCUUCGGGACACCUGCGGGGUCCACGUGGGUGUUGUCUGUGCUGGGGGGUUGGCUUCGGGACACCUGCGGGGUCCGCAUGGGGGUUCCCAGCGCUGGGGGGUCGACUUGGGGACACCCGCGGGGCCCACGUGGGGGUGCCUGGCACUGGGAGGUCAGCUUCGGGACACCUGUGGGGCCUACAUGGGGGUCCCCGGUGCUGGGUGGGUGCAGCUCCGGGACACCUGCAUGGCAAAUUGGCCGGACAGAGAGAGGCUUUGUGGUAGGAGGUGGGCCGGGAAGAAGGUGCAGAGGAAAUGAAGUUUGCGUGUUUUCCGUGCAGUCGAGCAGGGAAGAGACAAGGGCUGAGGCGAGUCUGUCCUGUCUCAGGGACAGUAGUAACCGCGCCAGGAGGGUUUCCCUGCUGAC
rnacentral:lncRNA from 1 species